CAGGAAUGUGUAAAGUACCCUGGAGAAGAGAAAUAAAAGGGAUAGCAGGAAUGUGUAAAGUACCCUGGAGAAGAGAAAUAAAAGGGAUAGCAGGAAUGUGUAAAGUACCCUGGAGAAGAGAAAUAAAAGGGAUAGCAGGAAUGUGUAAAGUACCCUGGAGAAGAGAAAUAAAAG